rnacentral:rRNA from 1 species
AGCAGAAGUCGGGGGAGGUGGCGCGGUUAUAGUUAGUGAGCAAGCGUGGUUCGUGGUGACUGUGCGUAAAGGGUGUGUAUGAGGUUCUGUACGGUGUGUUUGAAAUCUCCCGGGUCAACUGGGAGGGUUCGCCGAAUACUGAGGGACUAGAGUGCGGGAGAGGAAAGUCGAAUUCCUGGUGUAGCGGUGAAAUGCGUAGAUAUCAGGAGGAACACCGGUGGUGUAGACGGCUUUCUGGACCGACACUGACGCUGAGACACGAAAGCGUGGGUAGCAAACAGGAUUAGAUACCCUUGAGUC